UACAGAGGGUGCGAGCGUUGUCCGGAAUCACUGGGCGUAAAGGGCGCGUAGGCGGUCGGGUAAGCGUGUGGUGAAAGCUCGGGGCUCAACCCCGAGUCGGCCGUGCGAACUGCUCGACUGGAGCAUGUCAGAGGCAGGCGGAAUUCCGGGUGUAGCGGUGGAAUGCGUAGAGAUCCGGAAGAACACCGGUGGCGAAGGCGGCCUGCUGGGACAUUGCUGACGCUGAGGCGCGACAGCGUGGGGGAGCAAACAGG
rnacentral:rRNA from 1 species